rnacentral:rRNA from 1 species
AUUGAACGCUGGCGGCAGGCCUAACACAUGCAAGUCGAGCGGUAGAGAGGUGCUUGCAUCUCUUGAGAGCGGCGGACGGGUGAGUAAUGCCUAGGAAUCUGCCUAGUGGUGGGGGAUAACGUUCGGAAACGGACGCUAAUACCGCAUACGUCCUACGGGAGAAAGCGGGGGAUCUUCGGACCUCGCGCCAUUAGAUGAGCCUAGGUCGGAUUAGCUAGUUGGUGAGGUAAUGGCUCACCAAGGCGACGAUCCGUAACUGGUCUGAGAGGAUGAUCAGUCACACUGGAACUGAGACACGGUCCAGACUCCUACGGGAGGCAGCAGUGGGGAAUAUUGGACAAUGGGCGAAAGCCUGAUCCAGCCAUGCCGCGUGUGUGAAGAAGGUCUUCGGAUUGUAAAGCACUUUAAGUUGGGAGGAAGGGUAGUAACCUAAUACGUUGCUACUUUGACGUUACCGACAGAAUAAGCACCGGCUAACUUCGUGCCAGCA